AAACUUUUAGUCUUAAAUAGAAUGUUUCAUUUACACUGAAGAAGGUUAAAAAGUUUU
rnacentral:tRNA from 1 species